rnacentral:rRNA from 1 species
GACGAACGCUGGCGGCGUGCUUAACACAUGCAAGUCGAGCGGAAAGGCCUCUUCGGGGGUACUCGAGCGGCGAACGGGUGAGUAUCACGUGAGUAAUCUGCCCUUCACUUCGGGAUAGCCUUGGGAAACUGAGAUUAAUACCGGAUAGGACUCCUGCCUGCAUGGGUGGGGGUGGAAACUUUUUUGGGUGGGGGAUGUGCUCGCGGCCUAUCAGCUUGAUGGUGGGGUAAUGGCCUACCAUGGCUUUGACGGGUAGCCGGCCUGAGAGGGUGUUCGGCCACACUGGGACUGAGACACGGCCCAGACUCCUACGGGAGGCAGCAGUGGGGAAUAUUGGACAAUGGGCGGAAGCCUGAUCCAGCAACGCCGCGUGAGGGAUGACGGCCUUCGGGUUGUAAACCUCUUUCAGUAGGGACGAAUGUGACGGUACCUACAGAAGAAGCACCGGCCAACUACGUG